AGGAUGAGGAUUUUCUCACUAAGGUAUAUAGGAUAUAAGCUGCUAACUUCUUUCCAAUUAGAAAGCUCAACACUGUUCAUUGAGAAUACUUGUGCAUUUGGGAUGAUCAGGAUGUUAAUCAUGGUAGUUGCUAUAUCAUUUCAUCAUUUACAGCAAAAAUAUAUUUUUUUGGAAGAAAACCUAUUUUGGCAGGCUUGUGGCUUUGGCUUUUCGCAAUUUAUCUCCAAAAAUUAAGGGAAAUUUCCAUAAUCAGAUGAAUGUGAUAAUGUUCUGUAGCCCUUCCUUUCCAACUCUGUUCUGUUUUUCAGAAACCAUUGCAUGUGCCAC
rnacentral:misc_RNA from 1 species